rnacentral:rRNA from 1 species
GACGAACGCUGGCGGCGUGCCUAACACAUGCAAGUCGAACGGAAAGGCCCUGCUUUUGUGCGGUGCUCGAGUGGCGAAGGGGUGAGUAACACGUGUGUAACGUGCCCUUCACUUUGGGGUAACUUCAGGAAACUGAGGCUAAUCCCGGAUAGGAGCUCCUGCUGCAUGGUGGGGGUUGGAUAGUUUCGGCGGUUGGGGAUGGACUCGCGGCUUAUGAGCUUGUUGGUGGGCUAGUGGCAUACCAAGGCUGUGGCGGGUAGCCGGCCUGAGAGGGUGGCCGGGGACAAGAGGACUGAGAUAGGGCCCAGACUGCAAUGGGAGGCAACAGUGGGGAAUAUUACACAGUGGGCGGGAGCCUGAUGCAGCAACGCCGCGUGCGGGAUGACGGCCUUCUGGUAGUAAACCGCUGUCGCCUGUGACGAAGCGUGAGUGACGGUAAUGGGUGAAGAAGCACCGGCUAACUACGUG